UGGGGUUUCACCAUGUUAGCCAGGCUGUUCUCGAACUCCUGACCUCAGGUGAUCCCCCUGCCUUGGCCUUCUAAAGUGCUGGGAUUACAGGUGUAAGCCACUACGCCCGGCCUAUAGUUAAAUGUUAUACUUAAGUGCAUAGAGAACACACUCCCAUGUCUCCAUCCACCCACGCCUUCUCGGUUCUACAGUGACACCAUUAAAUUCUUUUUCUUCAAGGAAGAUGCAAGAGGAAGAGGGUCCUAGAGGUCAGAUCCUACUCUGCUCCCUGUUCCCUGCCUGUUCCCUUCCGUCUCCUGCCUGGCCAGUCAGCUCCUCCCUGGACAGGAUCCCUGUGGUACUCUAGGGACCCCAGCCAACCCCACAGCCCUGGGACAAGUUGGAGAGGUCCCCAUCUCUCUGCUAGCAGCAGACACACCCAGGCCUCAGGCAUGGCACCUGCCCCUCACCACCUCGGCAUGAGAGAAAAGAAAAGAAUACUAAAAAUAAGUUAGCUCCAAAUUUGAGCAAUAAAAAUAAAACAAGAAUCUUUGGAACCAUUGGCCCAUUUGACUGUUUGUGUUUUGUGUGGCAUUUGAAAGGCUUACACGGCUCAAGACUAGUUCCAAAAGAGAUUUCAGGCUGGCACAGCCUCUGCAUAGCCUCAUUUAGAGAUACUGCCCGAACUGCACACCAGUGGGGUUCACUGCCCGCUGCCUCCUCUGGCCCUUCCCAGUAUCAUCAGCCCUGUAAGAUCAGAACUCGCAUCUCCUUCAGGUCCAACACCAAGUACUUGGUUACAAAAGCUGGUACCGACUAAACGCUGCUUGGGUUGAACUGCUGAACUGCUGCAUCUUCUCUCUUGCAUCCUGUACAGUCAGGAUAGACUAACUUGAAACAAACAGCCCCUGCUUUUCAUUCAUUGAAUGUAAUCAGAGGUUUAUUUCCCCCUUCACUUAAAGGUAGACUGGCAGGUGGGGAUCAGGAUAACACAUGGGAGGCUUGCGGGCCAGGCCCAGAAAUGGUGCGUGUUUCUUGCACCCACAGGCCAUUGGCUGGAACUCCGUCAUGUGGCCACACCUAACCACAGGGGAGGUUGGGAAGUGAAGUACAGCUGUGAGCUCUGGCAGAAAAGGAAGCAGGUUGUGGUGAGCGUUUAGCUGUCUCUACCACGCAUGCCUCCUGCCACCUUCUCUGCGCCAGGUACCUGGGAAGCUCUGCUCAUCCCUGCUUAGGGAAGGACAUGACCUCUGUUUCUUUGACCUUGUACCUCUCUCUCAUCUGUCACUGAGGACAUUCUGUUUUUGGGAUUGGGUCCUGUCUCCCCACUCUAAACUGGAAACCCUUUCAGAACGGAUGCUUUUCCUCACUCAGCACUUCUCUGGUUUCUCUGUAGCAUCUGAAACCUUCAGUGUUGCAUCAAGGUGGCCUCAGCCGCCUGCACCAGAAUUACUCUUUGAGAAUGGAGUUUCAGGGGCCCUACUCCAGGGCUACUGGCUCCUGAAUCUUUGAAGAUGGGACCCUGGAGUCUGCUUUUCUAAUACCCUUCCCAGGUGAUUCUCAUAUAUACUGCAAUCUGGGGACCACCUGUUUAGGAAAUAUUUGAUAAUUGACUGCUUACCCCAAUUGGAAUGCAAGAUGAGAAUGUGUCACAGAUUCCUGAGAGGUUCCUAGGCUGGAAACUGAAACCUAGAGAGGGAAGAGGUUUCAUCCCCAGUCACACAGCUCAGGAGCGACAGAUCCGAGGAGUCAGGCCCCCUGGGUCCUGCUUAGAGCUUUCUCUGCUAGUCUCAUCACAACAUGCUGAACUCUUAUUUCAAGGCUGUUUGGGUGACAGGCCGUUGAGAUCUUGAUGGCACAUGAUGUAGGGGAAGACAGCACUAACUAUAAACGAAGUUCUGCCUUCUCAUCCAGCUCAAGCCACUAAGAGGCUGUGGCCAAGUCACUUCAACCAUCACACUCAGGUACUUCAUCCCGUCCUUCUCAGCAAGCACCCUUGUCGUGUGAGCCUGGCCUUAUCUUCCCCCCUAACUGAGAGUCCCUUGCCUCUUUGCAUGGGAACAGACCCUUUUUACUAGUUUCUCACGGACCUGAUAGGGAUUCUAGAUAUUGGCUCCCAAGUUCUCUAAACCGUAAGGACUUGAGGGGUCAGAAAGACGACUUCCUCCAGGAACACCAGGAACUCACCCAAGACAUCCUUGAUCACACGCCGCUUAGUUUUUCUCAUUCAGUCAGUUUCCUGAUGCUGAAAUUCAGGCCAUUUUUUCCUGUUCUAGUCUGGGGAAAUCUGCGUUACUGUACUUGUUACCAUAAUCAUCUCAUCAGCAUCCAAUUCGCAAACCCCUCAUUAUCUUCCUCAUCUCCAGGCUUUCCCCGACUUGCUGAGUGGUGGUCACUGUUCCCCCCGCUUUGCUGUGGAUGACAUGCAGGGCACUCUGCAGGGCACUUGCUUUGCAGUGGGGAGGAUGAGGCAGGUCUUCUCGCCCCAGAACUGAAUCUCCACUGUCCCCUCUGUCAGUCAGAGCACAGUGAAGAAACACUUGGCACCUAGAAUGCUGACACUGUCACUUGGCUGGGAAGGUGUGGGUUGAGGAAGAGAAUGUAGGAGCUGGUGGAGCUGGGAUGUUAGAGGCCUUUCCAGUUAUAGCUUGGAUGCCCCCUUCUCUCUGCUCCCCAAACACCUGGCCUCUCUUUCUCUCCUCUCUCCUUUCAAUGGGCUGUAAUUUUCUGUACCAGGGACCAUAGCUGUUCAUCACUGUGUCCCCUGGCACGUGUUAGGUGCUUAGUGUGGGUUUGACAGAGGAGGAGUGGAUUUGGAGCUUCUUUCCCAGGGGACAUAUGAGCAAGCACUUUAGGACAGGGCUUAUGAAAGUUGAUCUCAGGACUAUUUUAAAGGGAAGCUUGCUAAGAUUCUGGAUGUGGAAUAAAUGGAUUUUUCCACGUACCAAGAAAUGAAAAAUCCCUCUGAGUGAGCAGAAAAUGCAAGGAGAACUUUUCAAACCUAGAACAGCCUCCUCCACCCCAGCUGUGAUUGUUCAGCUGUUUGCCCUGGAGGAUGGGGUUAGGCAGGGCUGGGUCACUAAGCAACCAAGCCCUGGCACCUGCUGGCAGGAGUCAGUCUGGGUGUUCCUCAAGUGGGGCCUCCGAGAGGGGUGGGCAGAGGGGGCCAUGGGAGGAGGCAGGGGAGCCUGCUCUGACAAAUUCCCUCUGUCUGCCUUUCAGCCUGGAGGAAUGGCAGGUGGGGAAGGAAGAAACCAAUACAUCUUUGGUUUAUUUUACUCUCCCAACUUAAUAUUGAGUGGGCGAAAGGUCCUGGUUUGGCAGUGCCAUUGGUCUGGGCACCCACAGUCAGUGGAUGGAGCAGGCAGGGGCAGACUGUGCUGGAGCCCCGGGCCUCAAGGGAGCCUGUCCCUGGGCCUGGGAACCCAUGCCCAGCCUUCGCUCUGUGUGACCUUGGGGAACCACACUCUAGGCCUCACCCUUCACCUCCGUAAAACCGGAAGACCUGCCCUGCCAGUGGAGAGUAAGUGAUAAACAUCCAAUUGUGAGAACCCAUGUGAACUCUGGGGCUGGGGAUAAUAAAGGCCAUUUUGAGAAACACAGGUGCUGGAGGUAGGGCUCAUGACUGGGGUGCAUGCAGGUAUAAGGCUGUGUUCACAGACAAGGGCAGGCGCAGGGCCUGCUGGGAAAUGGCUGGAAUGUGUGAUAGUAAUGGCCGGUGCUCGGGUCUUGAUAUGCGUCAGGUACUGUCCUAGGUGCUUGAUGGGUAAAUACUCAAUUUAAUCCUCACAACUACAAUACGAGGUAGGUACAUUAUUGUUGCCACUUAAGAGGAAACUGAAGGGGUCAAAUAAUGUGCCCAGGGUCACAUAGUAGGUCACAUAGGAGUUGGACCCAAGUAGUCUAAUGCCAGGGCUCCUAACCCCUAAGCUGUAGCUCUUUCCAGAAUUCUCCAAGUAGCCGAAGCCCAGCAGUGGGGCCAAAAGAUGCCCACAAAUGCAGCCUCAUGACAGCACUACCCUCUUGGAGUCACUGAAGAUAUUGCACCCUUUGCCAGGCCGUUUAGGGGACAGAGGAGAUCAAACCUCCCUGCCCCUGAGCCUUUAUGGCACAGUGGGAGGAUAUACACGUUCAAAGACGCAGAGCUAAUUAAUAACUAAGUGGACACGUUUUAGUAUCACAUAUUAAUCCCUGAGCUCCUGGGUGCCAAGACUGCCAACGUGGGGUGGGGUUAACAGGGCAGGUAGCAUGUGAGGAGAGGACUAAUGUAGGCUGAUGAAGAGGCACCCCAGCCCCCAAAGCAGCAGGUGGAGGAAAGCCAGGAAGGGCUGCACUUCUCCAGUGGGCAGCACAGGCUGGUGUCCGGGCUGCUGGUGCAAGUCUGAAGCUGCCCCUCCCCUCCUAGCAAGCAUGGGCAGUGUGGGUGUGUGCAGUGCUGGGUACUGACUCACCUCCAGAGACCACUCGGCUCCCACACACAGCCUCUGAAUGAUCUAAAUCAUUUAUGGGGCUGAAUGCCCUCUCCUUCAGGGAGCUCCAGCUGGAGCUAGAGCCAGGACAUGGGGGCGGAGAGAGCUCCCGCAGUCACCUGGAGCCCCGUGCAGCCUGCAGGCAGAACCUAUGAGUUAGACUCCUAAAGCCACUCCUCUGGAGGCCUAGAGAUUCUGCUGAGUUUCACUCUUUGGCUCUAAGAACAUCUGGAACUCUAUACAAUGCUGAGGAACUCUGUUUUCAAAGCAUUCCUGUGCAGGGAAGUCCACUAUGUGAGGGCAAGGGUGUGAUUUGGAGGUGGGGAUGGACAGCUCCGGUGGUUCGCCAAUGCAUGUCUCCUAGCUCUGGGGCACCAAGAGUGUGCCAUGACUCUAUGAGCACAUCCAUCUCUCUAGAUGCAUGGGGCUGGAAAGCCAGAUGUCAACCUGACCUGACCUUGCUGUGACAGGGUACUGUGGUGGGAGAACAUCUGGAGAAGGCUGGGAAACAGAGCUUCCCCUUGGCCCUCUGAAGGUUUGCUGCAAAUCACUGGCAUGAGGCAAACUGAUGAGUGGGCAAAAAGGCACACAAAUUUAUUUAACAUGUAUUUGCGGGAAUGAAGACCCAACCCCCAUGGAGUACAGAAGCUCAUACACAUCCUGAGGUUACAGAAAGAAUGUGGGCUGAGAGCACGGCCCCAAAUAGGUUAUGGUUGAUAAAUUAGGUUUUAGUGGCAACACAGGUUUUCGGAGGGGAAGAAGGAGAGGCUUGGUUAGCCAAGGUGGUCUUGUUACGUAGAUGAAACUUCACAGGUAACAACCCUCUGAGAGACAACAUAGUAAAUGUUUCUUUCAGAUCUUUAAAGAUGUCAGACUCCAUUAAUCUCUCCUAGAUCUGGACAAGGGAAGAAGGCCUGGCUGCAUUAAAGGAGAUUCUCAACAGAUGCAAAUUUCCCCCACAAAGGACAGCUUUGUAGGGCCACCUCAGUCUGCUGGCCCUGUGGCAGCCAUCUCAAAUUCUGUCAAAGUAAUAUAUUUUGGGGUCACCUGUUUUUAUUUCUUUCACUCCUCCUGACUCAAUUUGCUCUAGAAUCUGGGUAGGUGGACCAGUUCAUCUUGAGGCCUCUUGCCGAUCUCUGAGCACAGGCUUCUGUGCCCCUAACCUUUCUGGGCAGUCCCCUGGGAGGUUCUGAGCAGGCAUGCCCGCUACGCCUGCAGCAGCUCCUCUGAGCUGGGCUGGGCUGUCCCGGUCAUUUUUCAUGUUCAUUUUACACUCCAGGAGAGUGGCCUAGUCCUAGGAAUAGAGCCUGGUUUUGGAGGGCUUGGGAUGACAGAGGCCCAUUCACUUAGAUGUGGGAUUGACUCCUUGCUUGGAAUAUAGAAAGUAAGGGAAGCUCCCAACUUUAUGGGAACCAGAUAAAACCAGCCAGUGACAUGGCCUCCAGGUUUCCCCUGCCCUUUUUAUUUUUUAUUGUGGUAAAACACACAUAACAUAAAAUUUACCAUUCUUAUUUUUUUCCCCCAA